rnacentral:rRNA from 1 species
CAGCCGCCGCGGUAAUACGUAGGGUGCGAGCGUUAAUCGGAAUUACUGGGCGUAAAGCGUGCGCAGGCGGUUGUGUAAGACAGGUGUGAAAUCCCCGGGCUUAACCUGGGAACUGCGCUUGUGACUGCACAGCUAGAGUAUGGCAGAGGGGGGUGGAAUUCCACGUGUAGCAGUGAAAUGCGUAGAGAUGUGGAGGAACACCGAUGGCGAAGGCAGCCCCCUGGGCCAAUACUGACGCUCAUGCACGAAAGCGUGGGGAGCGAACAGGAUUAGAUACCCCCGUAGUCCCUGUCUCUUAUAC